UACGUAGGGUGCGAGCGUUGUCCGGAAUUAUUGGGCGUAAAGAGCUCGUAGGCGGCUUGUUACGUCGUUCGUGAAAACUUGGGGCUCAACCCCAAGCUUGCGGUCGAUACGGGCAGGCUAGAGUUCGGUAGGGGAGACUGGAAUUCCUGGUGUAGCGGUGAAAUGCGCAGAUAUCAGGAGGAACACCGGUGGCGAAGGCGGGUCUCUGGGCCGAUACUGACGCUGAGGAGCGAAAGCGUGGGGAGCGAACAGG
rnacentral:rRNA from 1 species